UACGUAGGGGGCGAGCGUUGUUCGGAAUUACUGGGCGUAAAGGGCGCGUAGGCGGUGCGGUAAGUCACCUGUGAAAACUCUGGGCUCAACUCAGAGCCUGCAGGCGAAACUGCCGUGCUUGAGUGUGGGGAGAGGUGCGUGGAAUUCCCCGGUGUAGCGGUGAAAUGCGUAGAUAUCGGGAGGAACACCUGUGGCGAAAGCGGCGCACUGGACCACAACUGACGCUGAGGCGCGAAAGCUAGGGGAGCAAACAGG
rnacentral:rRNA from 1 species